GCAACCACAGACUGUGCACGGAUUCUCUGAAGUUCUUGUUAUGAGCUACGAUUUGAUCGUAGGUUUCACGGACCAGAUGCGUCAAACCCUCGAACCCCACGAAGUGAUUAACCUCUUCGGCGAUGGGUGUCACUUCCUCGGCGGCGGACGGUGCAUAAGCCUCGAUCCAUAAAGGAUCGUUCUUCACUUCCGACGGGGCCUUAGAUAGAUGCUGUCCUGGUGGACGCGGUACGUCGGGUACAUCAGAAAAGGCUGAUGUCUUCGGCCGAAAGGGAGGGCGUCUUCCUCCUUGGCGCCGGUUCGCUGAUGCGUCGGUACGACUGGACGCAGGAACGACUUCGUCACUUGACGGUUUACGGUUACGAUUCUUGGCUGAUCGUGCCUCUCCGAGGUCUUACAAUAAGCUCUGUAGUAUGAGUUGUUCUGAAAAGAACAGUUUAUGAGGGUGCGCUUGAUUGGUGUCGGGCUUCGACUAACAAUUUAAGUAUAACAAUUUGCUUUCAAAAAGGGGUAGAAGUAAAAAAAAAAACAAUGUUUCGUCCAGGGUUGAGUAUUGGAGACCAUCCAGUAUUCAAGAAUGACAAUGCCGCUCUCUGAGCUGGCGUAGGUGCGGCGAUAGUCCACGGCCAAAUUCGGGCGGCGUCGGCUUGACCCAAGUCUGAUCGACUGACUCUAUACAGGAAGGCUCCUCCAAGGUAGCUUGCCGAUCCAGGCAUGGCUAGAGGCGUACGGCCACGGUACGACAGGUUUGCGGCUGUUGUAUUCACUGGAGCACAUAGCAACAUCUGUCCAACAGAACCAGCAAUAGUCUGGGGUACUGGUACUAGUUCGAUGCGUGGAACCUCAGCUAGGUAGUGGGAAACGGCGUUAAGGAGCACGGUAUUCAGUGGGAGAGUGUCAAUCUCACUCGGGAAGUCAUUGGCGGUAAUCCGGGCACGCGUGUAGAUGACGCUAUGAUUAGGUCGUAACUGAUCAGCGUCGGCAUAACCCAUCAGUCUGCUGUUCCAUACAUGGGCUAAGCCAUUAGGAUGCCAUGCAGCGUUCUGCUGGUGUAGCCGUAAAGCGUAUUUGCUCUCGGAUGCGUUGGGCGUAGACAGGGAUGUUGGGAUACAAAGUCAUAUGCAGAUGAUCUGCAUCAAGGUCAUUGGGGUACCCGUUAUUCCCCAGGGUGUAUGGUGUCAGCCUAAACUUGGAUUCUACUGAGCUAUGGAUGUUAAGUUUCCCAUUCCUGACAAAUAGAUACCAACUGAGCUUGGGACGUGGUAGUUAGACUGAGUCAAUACCAUGUCUAGAAGCUCACGUUCAGCAACAUGUGUGCGAUAUCCAUUGGCAUGCUGGAAGAAUAGGGCUCUUGCCCAGGUGAGUGUAGCUAGGUAGUAGGCGUAGGCGGAUUUGGGCACGGAUUCUCUGAAGUUUUUGUUAUGAGCUACGAUUUGAUCGUAGGAACGACUUCGUCACUUGACGGUUUACGGUUACGAUUCAUGGCUGAUCGUGCCUCACCGAGGUCUUACAAUGAGCUCAGUAAUAGGAGUUGUUCUGAAAAGAACAGUUUAUGAGGGUGCGCUUGAUUGGUGUCGGGCUUCGACAAACAAUUUAAGUAUAACAAUUUCCUCUCAAAAAGGGGUAGAAGUCAAAAAAAAUAAAAAACAA